GUAGGUGAACCUGCGGAAGGAUCAUUUCCAAAAAACAAAAAAAAACAAUAUUCACCCACUGUGUGCAACGUUUUGGGUUUUUUUAAGAACAUUUACUCUCCUACACCUCCCCUUUGUUAAAUUUGAGGAGUCUAUAUCAUUUUGAUAUUUCUCCAUGAACGAAGCAAAAGGGAUUCAAGGGGUAAGAGAGGCCUUGAUGAACUACCUUGUAAACUAAGGUUGAUCUUAAUACUUUUUUCGAACCAAUGUGACUGCAAAGUCAUAAGAAAAAUGAUACGACAACUUUUAACGGUGGAUCUCUUGGCUCGU
rnacentral:misc_RNA from 1 species